AUAAAUAAUUCAGAUGGUUAAGGCGUUUAAGAGACUUUGAGAUUCAUGUCUUUAUAAUAGGUGAAGUCUGUGACAAUCAGUUUGUUCUUUAACAUGAGAUGCUCAGGAUUCCUGCUGUUAGAAUUAGAAGAACUUGUUGCCGAGGUUGUUUGUGAUUAUUAGAUUUAAUAACCUUUUUAAAUUUUCAUGUUGUUUGUUAGCAUGUUCAUUGUGAAAAAAGAAUUCUGGUGUACAGAAAUGGUUGAUGUUUGUUUCCAUCAGAUCAGCGUCUUGGAUGUUGUUUCAUUGGUCAAUUGGAGAAAGUGAAAUGGAGUUUGGAAGAAGCUAAUGCAGCUUUAUUCCAAGUAUAGCAGGCUGAUUUAAUCUUUUGCCAUAGCUUUAUUGUUUAGGCCUUAGGGCUGUGUUGACCCUAAAUUUGGAAUGAGAUUUAUCCUUGUUAAAUUGACAUACACUAAAGAAGUGGCUUGCUUUUGCAGAAAACAAAGAAAUAAACCAGCUAAACCAAUGUGCACAACCUUAUGGUUGCCAUGGACUUUUGUAUGGAUGUGUAGAUUCUAGAUAUGCUGCGUUUAUAUUAUGCUGCUCUAUCACUAUGUUAGGACUAUUUGCAACGUAUUUUUAUAUUUUUGCAUCUAUAAUUCCUUGUCUAUCAUCAUGUGUUUCUAUUUUAUUAAUAUGUAUUUUAUCAUUUUAUCCUGUUUCCUUAAUAUAUCACAGUGUUUAACAGUUGUGACGUAUUGAGACCUUAUGUUGCUCACAUA
rnacentral:misc_RNA from 1 species